rnacentral:rRNA from 1 species
GGCUGACGCCUGCCCGGUGCUGGAAGGUUAAGAGGAGUGGUUAGCUUCUGCGAAGCUACGAAUCGAAGCCCCAGUAAACGGCGGCCGUAACUAUAACGGUCCUAAGGUAGCGAAAUUCCUUGUCGGGUAAGUUCCGACCCGCACGAAAGGCGUAACGAUUUGGGCACUGUCUCAACGAGAGACUCGGUGAAAUCAUAGUACCUGUGAAGAUGCAGGUUACCCGCGACAGGACGGAAAGACCCCGUGGAGCUUUACUGUAGCCUGAUAUUGAAAUUCGGCACAGCUUGUACAGGAUAGGUAGGAGCCUUUGAAACGUGAGCGCUAGCUUACGUGGAGGCGCUGGUGGGAUACUACCCUAGCUGUGUUGGCUUUCUAACCCGCACCACUUAUCGUGGUG